rnacentral:misc_RNA from 1 species
CAACUAAGUAAAAAGAGGUAAAGAAGAUUUAGAGAAGAAAGCAAAGAAAAGGAGACAGCACAAGCAAAUUCACAGGGCACUUAACUCUUCUAUAUUAUCUUACCUUUUUUUCCCCGCAGUGAAACAAUCAAGAUGACCACUGCUGCUAGUAAGAUGAGCUGAAAAAUAAUUGAAAAAUCCUCUCACUUCAGCAUCUCAAUCAUCGU